UGAGUGAAAGGAAAAAAAAAUUGAAAGCCUAGCAAAAUAUGACAGGAAAAUGUUUGGUAAAUUCACGAGCAUUGUCCCUAAAUUUGGUGAAAUAACAAAAAUGCCAACUAAUACAUGAGUCAUGACCUCCGGAUGUAUGAUCAUUGAUCAGUGAUCAUUUGUAUAUGUAGGUGUGUGUUUGAAUGGUGAAUAAAGCUUAAAGUCCCGCUAACAAUUCAGCAUUGAUCGCGAUGAUCGCGGAUGAGAAUGGAAGUCCAAACAGGUUUAAUAGCACAUUUGGGUAUGGAGUAGGUAGCAGCGGAUAUGACAUAAGUUCAAUUAGCAGGAACACAUUGGGGAACGGUCAAGGAGGAGGAAUGGCUUCUGCUUUAAGCAGCGGAGGCAGUUUAAAUUUUGAUAGUGCUGACAGCAGUCUUGAGUUGGGUCCGAUAGGUUUUGCCAGGAACACAAGCAGCAAUAUUGCUCCAACAUCUUCUAUGUAUGCAUCUCCAAAGCUUGAUAGUUUUGGCCUGUUUAAUAACCAACUCAACAAUGUCAUAUUUGAUGUUACCCCUAGAGAUGUUGUGCAUUAUGCUCAAGGAUAUAAUGUUUAUAAUAGAUCAACAAAAGGUAUUUGCCCUUUCUUUCUUCAUUCUUCUUUUCCUUUCCCUUGCAAUUUCAGAAAUUUUAACGUACAAAGAUCUAAAGGUACAUGCCCUUUCUUUCUUUCUAUCCCUUCCCUUUUUUAAUUACAGUUCCAUCAGCUAUGUGCAUGAUGUAUGCCCACUUUUUUUCUGCUGUAGUUUGAACCAAUGGCGCUUAGUGAUCAGAUUUUAUGUCUUUAGCUAUUAAUAUAGUUACUUGAUGCUUCCUCUGUGUACUUUGUAUUAUGUUUAGAGUACUUAAUAUAUAUAUUAGGUUCAAAAUCCAACACUCAUUGUUUAAAAAGUUGGACGUCUAACAUGGUAUAUGUCUGUGUAUACUCUGAGAUGUUUUUGUAAUUAUUUCCAAUUUUGGACUCACAACUAUGAAAUUUUUGGAUCCCAAAUUUGGACCCAUGGAUGUUCAUUGUAAUAGUGAUUCUUGAACUUCUCGCUCUGAUGUGAUAAUGAGUGGCAUGAAUUGGUAAUUUGGUACAAAGUACAAAUCUAUUGGAGCUUAAUAGAGAAUAAUAAUAUUUCUUUUAUGCGUACAUUGAAUAGAAAAAUAUUAAUAGUAGCAUGCUUUGUCAAUGUAUUUUAUUAAUGCUUUCUCUGUAUUAUUUAAACUGUUUUUUAGGUCCCAUAAAAGAACCUAUAUAUAAUCCAAUUUUUAAGUACUGAUAUAAAUAGGUGUGAUCUCAAUAAUAUUACCCCUAUUAAACUCUAUGUUUAUAUAUAUAUUCAGGCACAAAAUUAACAAAAAUAAUGAUCAUAUAUAUUUCUUAUUGGGGAUAUAGUUGAAUUCAACUCAUUUUACGAACAAAAGAAUAGCUAAUAUUUGAAAUAACAAUAUCUCUUUAAAAGAGCUAAUUAAAUACUUGAUAAGCACCUAUACAUGUGUUUAGUGAACCUUUAAAUUCAAAGAGAGAAAAAAGUUGUAUCAGUGAGUUAGUAUUACAUAUAUACAUAUACAUACAUACAUACAUACAUACAUACAUACAUACAUACAUACAUAUAGAUACAUACAUACAUACAUACAUACAUACAUACAUACAUACAUACAUACAUACAUACAUACAUACAUACAUACAUACAUAUAUAUAUAUAUAUAGAGUCCUACUCCAAUAGAAACCAAAUUAGCCUAAAAACUAAAAACCAGUUUUUGGACAGUUUUUUAUCACUAUUUUUAACUACAGAAAUCACUAAUUUGUACAUAACAUAUCACUAAUUUAUAUAUAGCAUAUCUCGCGAAUAUAAAUAUGUAUAUGUACAUAUAUGCAACGUAUAUGACCAUCAUCUUCACCCAAAUCGUAAUAAUGGACCUCUUACCACCAUUACCAGACGUUUCUAUGACUUGCCACCAUUGUCUAUCAUCACCAAUAGUCACAUACACUUUUCAUCAUAACUUACAAAACUAACGACUACUUCCCAUCAUCAUACAACUUCUCUUGCGGCUUCCUGCCGCCAAAAACCAUCCUACGGAUGAAAUUGAUCAUCUAUAAUCGAUUAUCAAUAGUUUAGAUAAGUAGAUUUUCUCAAUUUUGAUAAUAAAAAUCGCUGUUUACAUACUAUAUAAAAAUAGUGGUUAGUGCAGUAUAAAUUAGUGAUACCCAUAGUUAUAAAUAGUGGUAGGGAAACUGGUUUCUAGUUUUUAUUUUAAGAGUGGUUUCUAUUUGAUCAUGAGCCUAUAUAUAUAUAUAUAUUGUCUCUUUAGGCCUUCCUGGUGAAAAAAUAACACUUAUGGAAGUUGAGAAGCAGCUUAAAAAAUCUUAGGUUGCUGAGAGAGGUAGAUUGCAGAAUGAGAAUUACAAGCCCAAAAGGAAAUUGGGGCCGCGUUGUAAGAUUUUGCAGUAAGGAUACAUGUUUCUUGGGACAAGAACGCAUAUAUGAAUUUUAAAGACUUGAUCUUACAGUUACAUGGUUUUAAACUUAGUGAGUUUAUUUCAUUUGUGAAGUUGUUAUUAAUCGAUUGUGUUGUAUGAUGCAUUUAAUUUCUAGGUUAUACUUUUCCUGUUUUCUGCUUUUCACUUCCCUUUAUAAUAUGGUUUACUUCUUGAUUGUUCCAUUUAUCUCUAUAAAAUAUUUUUACGCUUCUGCUUAAGAUGAUAAGAUAAUAAUAGAUUAUAAAUUAAACAGAUAUAAAUUUGCUAUUGACUAUGUUAUACUGCCUGCUUUAACGCUUUGCACUUAUUGGUAAUUGUUAACGAUGCUACUUAUCUUAUUGAUAUUUUUACAUUGGAAAUUAUUGGUUUACUUUGCUAAUAAACUUGUUAGGAAUCUGUAGAUUCUUGUUUGUUUAGUUGUUGCUUCAUGUCUUAUUCAUGUUUGAACAUAUCUCAGAGAUGCUGAAGUUCAUGUGAUGCCUCUUGAUAAUGAUGUUGGUUUUCUGUGCUUUCAUUUUUUUGUGUAUAAUUAUGUAAUCUUUCUAAGUAUAGUUAUGUACAUCCUUUGGUGUUUGCUCUGCUGGGUCGUAUCCGAGCUGCGGUUGAUAUCAACAAACUUUGACCACUUAUCUUAAAGAUCUUCCUUUUACUAUAAAAUAGUUGAUUUGAAAUUUGAAAAUUUAUAGUUUUGUAAUGUUGUAAAAUUACAAGAUUGUGUAAAAUAUUUCAGAGAGCUAGAAAACUGAGUGCUUCAAGAGAGGUUUUUUUAACACUUUUGGGUUAUCAUUUGAUCUUUCAAUAUUUGUACACCACAAUGAACUGGCUGGGAUUAAAUUAGGGUGUGCAGUGUUAUCUUGAAUACUUGGAAUCGGAGGGGAAAACGCUAUCAGAAAGACAAAUUUUUAUGUUAAUUUGGGAGGUGAUCAUUGAAACAUCAGAUACUACCGUAGUUGCAACUGAAUGGGCCAUAUAUGUACUUGCUAAAGAUUCAAAGCGACGGGUUGGUUGUAUAUUCACUCUAAUGUAAGAAUUUAUGAAUCAAACUAAUUUCUUUUCAAAUUUCAGAAAAAGCUUUGCAAAGAGAUCAAUAGGGUGUGGGUCUGAGAAAAUCACGGAAGAGAAGUUGCCUCAGCUUCCUUAACUUUAUGCUAUUUUCCAAGAGACCCUAAGACCACACAGUCCUGUUCCUAUUAUUCCUUUGCGAUAUGUGCAGGAAGAUACUCAAUUGGGAGGAUACUUUGUUCCUUCUGGCUUGUAUCAUGGAUAUUGGUUUGGUCUCAAGGAUUUACUUCAAUGCAAUUAAAAAUAAUGAUGAUGUCAAAAAAUAUUUAUCAAUGACAAAAAAUUUAAUCAAAAUAAAUAAUAUAAAAAAUAUAUAUUAUAUAAAUAAUGGGCCCGUGUCUUGCACGGGCUUUUAUGCUAAUAUCUAUUAUAUGAGAACAGGUCUUUUUCCUGAGCAAAUUUAUUCAGUAUGAAAAGACUGUUUAAUCCUUUUGAGCAAUCUUCUUAUAUCUUAUCUUAUAUCUUAUAUUUAUAUAAAGGAGGAUCUUGGCAAGGUGAUGUGGCAUCUCUCAGAGGCUCCUAUCUAAAUUUCCCUAUUUUUCAAGGACUUUGUGCUCUGCUGAUUUUAUUUAUGAUUGUAAAUGAUUAUUAUUAUUUAAUCUUAUAUAUAUUUAUAUAAAGGAGGAUCUUGGCAAGUUGAUGUGGCAUCUCUCAGAGGCUCCUAUCUAAAUUUUCCUAUUUUUCAAGUAUUUUGUGCUCUGCUGAUUUUAUUUGUGAUUGUAAAUAAUUAUUAUUAUUUAAUUAUUUAAUCUUAUAUCUAUAUAAAGUAAAAACUCGGUAAGUUGACGUGGCGCUUCCCAGCCUCUUAUUCUGUAUUUUCUCUGCUCCCCACUUUUUACGUUCUUUUUAUUGCAAUUUCCAUUUGCCCUUCGUUUCUGUGUUAGAACUACACGCCUUCCCACCUUCUUCGGAGCAAUUAUGCGCUGGAAGCUCAGAGGUCUUGCUGGGCUUUUGUAACCGGCAUCCCAUCGGCUGCUCACGCUUUGGCCUAUAAGUAGUCAGCUGAUUAGCAAUGACUCGGAAUCACAGAAUAAUUCUGCAGGGGAGUUCGCUGAAAAAGAUAUGGCAUUUGUUUAUCUUUCCGACUUGAAGGGCGAUGAGGAAGACUGGGUUAUAAGAGUGCGCGUUUGCAGGAUGUGGGAGUCUAUCAGUACAAAGGAUGGCAGUUUGAUAAGCGUGGAUAUGAUACUAGCCGAUGAAAAGUUUUUUGACAUAUGCUCUUUAGAAAUUAUGGACAAUCGCAACAAGCCAGGGACAUGGGAUAAUCCUGAUUACAUACAUAGAGCAGCGGUGAUGCUUACUUGGAAGCUUUAAAGGAUAGGGUUUGAUAUGAAUUGCAUUGCAGCAAGGAGAAUUUAAUUUUACUGCAUGAACUCAUCUGCAAUUCGUCUGAUGCGUUGGCUAUGAUCUGCUUCGAAGCUCUCACCGUUAAGUCCAACCUCGAGCAGGCUGAGCUAUUCAUUCAGAUCGUGCCUGAUGUAUUGUUAGGUUUUUGCUGGAAGAGUGAAUCAUGGAUCUUCUUGAUAAAUGCUUUUUUUGGUUAAACCUAUCUUGACACAAUGUUAAAAAAUAAUUCGGGGAACAGGCAAAAGGAGGCUGCCCACUUGUGAAAGAAGGGGGUGGUGGUUUUGUGAGUGUAAAUAUGAAUAUGAGCAGAUGUGAAAAGCCACCAAGCCCUGAGCCUAAUGCUCCUCCACCAAGAAACGCACCCAAGGCUGUGGAUGAAGAUCUCUGCAAAAUCUCCCCUGACCUCUGCUAUGCCAAAGGGGGCUCUUCAACGGGAAUGCUCAGUUGCGUGAUUAUCUGAGGAUGAAUUGUUGGAAAAAGCAACCAAUUUUGUGGACUUAGCAGGCUGCCCAAUUCAUGUUAUACCUCAUCUGCUGUGUAAUAAGUUUCAGUAGGAUCACCCAUUUCUAUAGUAGCUCCAUACCAAGUAAAAACCUGAGAAAGUUGCGUGAAAGAUGACAUAGGCAAGCAGGUGACUAGUACUAAAGAACAAUUGGAAAUGGCAUGACCUACUGGUUAAUAGUGUCAAGUCUGGGCGAGAGAUCUAAAACAUAACUACUAAUAAUAGAAAUAUAAAUAAUAGAAAUAUAGAGCGUACAUUUUGGUCACAUGUAAUUCUCCGGAGGCGAGGAUAUUGUACUAUUAGUCAGUUUGGAAUUCUUAUUAGUAGAAUUGAACUGAGCAUGUCCCUUUUCCUUUAUCCCUUUAUGUUGUUCACAUACAGUCCUCCAGUGGUAAGUACACUCUUAGUCCAUGUAUGCAGAUAUGAAUUCUGUGACUAGUGGAGCAAUAUAAUGAGGUCAGAAAUUUUAUUUCAUUGUAAUAAAGAAUUGAAGUAAUGCGGUGAAUUUGCCAUAUAAAUGAACUACAAUACUUAAAAGAUUGUCCAAAGAAGUCAUCUUUAUUAACAAACCAGAAACCUCUCAUUAAUCAAAGAUUCAAUAAUACCCUAAGAUUUACAAAAGUAGCUAUCCCAAUCCAUGUAGAAAUCAAGGGAUAAUAUUUUACAGACCCAAAAAUAUUGGUCUUCCCGUUUGAGGUGGGAGUAGUUGAUAUAAAUUUGUGUUCGUACCUGCUAACGCAAAUGAGAGAUUAACAAUCUUAUCAAAUCUUAUCUAAUCUUAUAAUUCUCAGUGUCAAAUUGCACACUUCCCUGAACCAUGGUUCAUAUAAGUUAGAUAUUAUGAAUCCCUAAAGGCAAGACAAUAAUACUGAUAGAUUUAGGGAUAGCAUGGCUUAAGUAGAGAGGGUGGGAAGAUGCAGCUAUAAUCUUAUGGGACUGUCCCUUGCAUAAAGUCAUUUCUAAAAGGUUGGCCCCAUGAAGAUCAGUAGAUCUCGGCGGGUAAAUAAAAAAACUAAAAGACUGGAUCUGUCUUUUGUAUCUGAUACCUCAUGUUCUGGAUAUUUUGUUUUUAUCUUGGAGUGUAAUUGUGAAGAUAGUUGUGGCAAUUCCUUUUAAGUCUGUUUUGGACAUGGGUUCUUAAUAUUCAAGAUUAUCUAUGAGAAGUACAUCUGCUUGGGUUACUACUGCUUUUACUGGGGGUAGUUUUUAAUUUGUCAUUUGAUAUAACUAUUCGCUGGUUCAUUUGUUAAUGUUUCUCCAUGUAGUUACUGGAUAUUAUUGUCAAUUGUUAUGUUUUUAUGUUGUUUGACAUAUAGCAAAAAGUGAGAUUUUAGUUUGGAGCCGUGGUUAUCUGAUAAUUAGUCCUCAAUGCUGAUAAUGUUGACCUUGAAAUAUAUAUAAUAUUUGAUAUGCUGCUUUGAUUUUGGUAUAUGAUAUAUGUUAAUAUAUAACAAUUCGAUUAAACAGAUAAUAAAAGUCAUAAUCAAAUCAUUUAUGUGUGGGUUAAUCGAAUUACGAAUAGUGAUUUUUAGCCGUUCCAAUUCCCUUAUUCGAAUUGUUAUAUUUCCUUCCGAAUCCACGCUAUAACAGAUUUUAGAAAAUCCCGGCAGUGACCGUUUGGGAACCUGAGUUGCAGUUUAAAACACCUGAUUUCACUAGAAUUGCUCAUUUUCUUUUCUUCUUUCUUGAUCUUUGUAAAUACAAUUCUCACUUUGUUCUACACCAGUAAAAAUAAAAAGAACUACCGUAGAAUCAAAUGUACUCUGAGAAGGAGACCAUAAUCAUCACCACUCGGUAUUUGUUCCUUUUGAUAAUACUACAGCACUGCAUUAUCAUCCAACUAAUAGCUUUUGGCAACUCAAAUGUAUUCUGAGAAAGAGACCAUAACUAUCUGUGAUUUCUAUCAUUUCACCAGCAAGAUGGGCUCUGUGGUCCUUGAACAUUCUCGGAUAGUUCAAAAUCAAAGAUCUGAUCCCCCAGGAUGGUUUGGUGAAACAAGCCUCCCAGAAGAAUGAGUAAUUUAUACAAUGCGGAUGUUACAUUGUUUAAGGUGGUGGAAGCCUUGAGUGUUGCUUGUUUCGAUUCUUCAGCUUUUGGUGUGGGGAAGCUGGUUAGCAAAUUUAUAUGCCGUGGCAAGUAAAAGUGCUUUGGUGAAGAACCUUCUCUAAUCACAAUGAAAGAAAACCCAAAACUAGGAUAAAGGAACAACAUGUUGAUGGAAAAUAUCAUAAUAUCAUGGUAAAUGUAAUUGCCAAUCCUAAAACUCUGUUUGAUGCUUACAUUAGUAUAAGAUCAGCUCAAAUGUUGAUUUAGAACUAGAAUGCGAUAAAAUCCCCUUUAAAGAAAUGGCAGAAGAGCUUUGUUGUGGAAAAUUUAAUGUAGGUGCUAAUACAUUCUCUAUCUCUACGAGGGGACCCAAUUAAGAAGUGCUGAUACAUUCUCUAUCUCGACGAGGGGACCCGAUAAAGAAGUGCUUAUCCUUCCAAAUCUUAAAUUGAAGGCUGUUCAAGAAGCCAUUAGAAUAGGUUUGUAAGUUGUUUUCAACCCUUACUUCUCUAAGUAUUCACAUGGUUUUCGAAGCGGCAGGGGUCACUUGUAAACCUUAAAGUACAUCCAUAAAGAAGUCUCUAAUCCUGAUUGGUGGUUCACCUUGCUUGUAGACAAACAUUUUGAUGUGUGCAUACUGUCUAAACUCAUCACAACUAUGGAAACUAAAAUUGAAGAUUCUACUCUAUAUGCUGUCAUCAGAAGCAUGUUUGACGCUAAUGUCCUCAAUUUGAAUUUUGGGGGCUUCCCAAAGGGCCUUGGUCUUCUGCAGGAAGGGUAAUUGUCCCCGAUAUUAAUGAAUAUAUCUUGAUCUUUUUGACUGAAGUUCACAGAUUAUGAACGAGAUAUGAGUCCUUUUGUGCCGGCACUCAUUGUGACCAGCAUUGGUCAGACUCGAAAUUGAGAAGCUGGUUUAGGAGACAGAUAGAAGAUACAAGUACCCAAUCUGCUGAGUCAAAAUCAAAUAUGCGGAUACAUUGUUGUCGCGUCAUGGAUGAGAUACUUGUAGCUAUUUCUGGUCUGAAAGAAGCUGCCAGUGCUAUCAUGUCUGAAACUGAAAGCUUCCUGCAUAAUUCACUUACAUGGAUUCACUUACAUGGAUGUUGAUAAUAGUUGUAUAUUCUUGUAAUGGUACAAGGGUGUUCAAUUCCUUGGUACUAAAUACAAAUAUUCAUGUAAUUUUAAUUGGAUUUUAAUUUUGAUAUACAAAAUUGAAGAUAUAAAAUUUCAUGUGAGAA